rnacentral:rRNA from 1 species
GACGAACGCUGGCGGCGUGCUUAACACAUGCAAGUCGAACGAGGAAGCCGGAGCUUGCUCUGGUGAAUUAGUGGCGAACGGGUGAGUAACACGUGAGUAACCUGCCCUUGACUCUGGGAUAACUGCGGGAAACUGUAGCUAAUACCGGAUACGACCCUCGGAGGCAUCUCCUGGGUCUGGAAAGAAUUUCGGUCAAGGAUGGACUCGGGGCCUAUCAGCUAGUUGGUGAGGUAAAGGCUCACCAAGGCGACGACGGGUAGCCGGCCUGGGUGGGGGGACGGCCACACUGGGACUGAGGCACGGCGCAGAGUCCUACGUGAGGCAGCAGUGGGGAAUAUUGCACAAUGGGCGCAAGCCUGAUGCAGCAACGCCGCGUGAGGGAUGACGGCCUUCGGGUUGUAAACCUCUUUUAGCAGGGAAGAAGCGAAAGUGACGGUACCUGCAGAAAAAGCACCGGCUAACUACGUGCCAGCAGCCGCGGUAA